GACGAACGCUGGCGGCGUGCUUAACACAUGCAAGUCGAACGGUGAAGCGCCUUCCUUUUUGGUGGGUGUGGAUGAGUGGCGAACGGUUGAGUAACACGUGAGUAACCUGCCCCCUUCUUCUGGAUAACCGCAUGAAAGUGUGGCUAAUACGGGAUAUUCUGGGUCUGUCGCAUGAUGGGUCUGGGACAGAUAUUGUUUCGGUGGGGGAUGGGCUCGCGGCCGAUCAGCUUGUUGGUGGGGUGAUGGCCUACCAAGGCGGUGACGGGUAGCCGGCUUGAGAGGGUGGACGGUCACACUGGGACUGAGACACGGCCCAGACUCCUACGGGAGGCAGCAGUGGGGAAGAUUGCACAGUGGGGGCAAGCCUGAUGCAGCGACGCCGCGUGAGGGAUGGAGGCCUUCGGGUUGUGAACCUCUUUCGCCAGUGAAGCAGGCCUGCCUGGUUUGUGGGUGGGUUGACGGUAGCUGGAUAAGAAGCGCCGGCUAACUACGUG
rnacentral:rRNA from 1 species